UCUCUCUAUUUCUUCUUCAUUUUUUCUUUAUUUCUUUCUUUUCUUUUAUUUCUUCCUCUCUUCUCUUAUGGUAUAAACAACAGUUCCAUGGUAUUUAGAAAGGGUAGAGAGAAAAGGGAAGGGGGAUGGGGUCCAACAUGUGCGUAGUCGGGGGUGGCCAAGCUGAUGGUGAUGGUCAAAGAUGGCGAUGAAUGGCAAUGAUCUGAGGAC
rnacentral:lncRNA from 1 species